rnacentral:misc_RNA from 1 species
GAAAUGCGAUAAGUAAUGUGAAUUGCAGAAUUCAGUGAAUCAUCGAAUCUUUGAACGCACCUUGCGCUCCUUGGUAUUCCUUGGAGCAUGCCUGUUUGAGUAUCAUGAAAUCUUCAAAGUAAAUCUUUUGAUAACUCAAUUGGUUUCUACUUUGGUAUUGGAGGUCUUUGCAGCUUCACACCUGCUCCUCUUUGUUCAUUAGCUGGAUCUCAGUGUUAUGCUUGGUUCCACUCGGCGUGAUAAGUUAUCUAUCGCUGAGGACACUGUAAAAGGUGGCCAAGGUAAAUGCAGAUGAACCGCUUCUAAUAGUCCAUUGACUUGGACAAUACUUUUAUGAUCUGAUCUCAAAUCAGGUAGGACUACCCGCUGAACUUAAGC